UGCGGAUCUCCUGCCUUUCUU
rnacentral:piRNA from 1 species